UUUAAAGUCUAAUCUGCCCAAUGAUUAAUUGAAUGGCCGCAGUAUUUUGACUGUGCUAAGGUAGCAUAAUCAUUAGUUUUUUAAUUGAAAGCUCGUAUGAAUGAUUGAACGAGAAAAAUACUGUCUCAUAAUAAUUUAAUUAGAAUUUUAUUUUUAAGUUAAAAAGCUUAAAUAAAUUUAAAAGACGAGAAGACCCUAUAGAGUUUAAUAAUUUUUAAAUAUUUUUGUAAGAGGAAUAAUUUUGAUAAUAUUAUAAAAGUUAUUUGAUUGGGGGGAUUAGAAAAUUAGAUUAACUUUUCUUAUAUUUAAACAUUAAUAUAUGAAUAAAUGAUCCAUAUUUUAUGAUUAUAAGAUUAAAUUACCUUAGGGAUAACAGCGUAAUUUUUUUUAGAGUGCUUAUCGAAUAAAAAGAUUGCGACCUCGAUGCUGGAUUAAAAU
rnacentral:rRNA from 1 species